CGUAAUACUAAAAUAUCGUUGCCUAAAUCUCAAUUUAUGAGGGUCGAGCGAAUCGUGAGUGAGCCCCACACCAGGGAGACUCGUCUACAAGAAAUGUCUCAAAGAUUUCGCGCACGCGGCUAUCCACAAUCACUUCUAGACACUGAGCUUAAAAAAAUUCUUUACAGACGGACUC